GUAGGCNGCAACUCGCCUACAUGAAGUCGGAAUCGCUAGUAAUCGCGGAUCAGCAUGCCGCGGUGAAUACGUUCCCGGGCCUUGUACACACCGCCCGUCACACCAUGAGAGUUUGUAACACCCAAAGCCGGUGGGGUAACCUUUUGGAGCCAGCCGUCUAAGGUGGGACAGAUGAUUGGGGGUGAAGUCGUAACAAGGUAUC
rnacentral:rRNA from 1 species